GUUGCUGCUGCAGAGAAGAAGAGAACAAGUGCACGGUUGGGGUUGGAAGACCAGAAAAUGAGUCUGAUCAGGGGACAGGUCCCUCCAACCCCUUACAGAUGGCCUUCACUUUGGAUUCUGUUCUUUCAGCUCUGCUUUCCUCAUGCAGCUAUGGAGGACAGGGUGCUGAAAGUGUGUCGAACUGGAGAAACGUGUGUGAUUGAGCUGAGAGGACGCGUUCCUGUCCUGGAGAAUGAUGACAUUCGCUGGGUACGAGACAAUUGGCAAAUUAGCAAAAAACAAACUAUAAUAGCCCCUCAGAACUAUAAGUAUAACAUGUUUAAAAAUGGCACGCUUCAAAUUUACGAUGGGCAAAUGGAAGACUCUGGGAAUUACUCUGUGAGUGUAUAUGAGAAACAAACUGGAAACCAAAAAAUAAUGCAGCUUACUAAGCUCACAUUCCUGAGUAAGUGCUGAUCCCAGACGCUGUCCUUCUGUUCUCCACCUGGUUCUCUGGCUACUCUCCUGUCUUGUCUGUUUGGAUAUGUUGACCUUCUACUUCUCUGCAGAGCCAGUGUCUGAUCUGAGGGUCACGACUCUCUGUGCCGAAAGAGGAAACAACUCUGUCACCUGUAGUGUUGGGAAUGGAGACAAUCUCCAUUUCCUGUGGAUGUGGAAUGGAACCAAUCAGAGCUUGGCAUCGCUGCAGUCAAACAAACACACCAUUCACUUUGAGGACCACACACCUGAAGAUCUUGUCUGUGUGGCAUUCAACGCUGUGAGCAGAAGCCAAGGAGCUGCCCCAGUGUGCCGAGGAUAUUUACCAACAUUCACAGCUGUGGGCAUUUUUCUAACCAUGGCUAUGUGCUCCAUGUUGAUGGGAACCGUGAGAAAGAAUAACAAAGCUAAUGAGUACUGCAAGCCUUUGGUUUCCACCCUGCCAACGUCAACGCCGUCUCAGGAACCAGGAUGACACAAUGACAGGACAGCGGGACAACAGAACGACAGGAGACACAAACAGUCUCUCAGAAGCUUGAAAUAAUUUUUCAGAAAAU
ensembl:lncRNA